rnacentral:lncRNA from 1 species
UUUUUUUCAGUUUAAAAGUAAUUAAUAGAGUUUUUCCAUUCACUGCAAUUGGAUACAGUUUAACAAUGGGUCAUGUUUUGUGUCCUAUGUAAGUUCUCGUUACGCCAGAUCUGAAGUGUCCAUCGUUUCCCAUCACCUGUUCCUUGAUGUUGAUGGUUUUCAUUUGCUUGUUGGUAACAUGUCUUCCUAAAUAUUAACUGCAUUACCAGUGUUGAUUGCCCUAUUAUUGUUUACUGUAGUCUGACACGAGAUAUUCCU